AGCUAACGCGUGAAGUUGACCGCCUGGGGAGUACGGCCGCAAGGUUAAAACUCAAAGGAAUUGACGGGGACCCGCACAAGCGGUGGAUGAUGUGGUUUAAUUCGAUGCAACGCGAAAAACCUUACCCACCUUUGACAUGUAUGGAAGAUCGCAGAGACGCGAUUGUGCUCGAAAGAGAGCCAUAACACAGGUGCUGCAUGGCUGUCGUCAGCUCGUGUCGUGAGAUGUUGGGUUAAGUCCCGCAACGAGCGCAACCCUUGUCAUUAGUUGCUACGAAAGGGCACUCUAAUGGGACUGCCGGUGACAAACCGGAGGAAGGUGGGGAUGACGUCAGGUCAUCAUGGCCCUUAUGGGUAGGGCUACACACGUCAUACAAUGGCCGGUACAGAGGGCUGCCAACCCGCGAGGGGGAGCCAAUCCCAGAAAACCGGUCGUAGUCCGGAUCGCAGUCUGCAACUCGACUGCGUGAAGUCGGAAUCGCUAGUAAUCGCGGAUCAGCGUGUCGCGGUGAAUACGUUCCCGGGUCUUGUACACACCGCCCGUCACACCAUGGGAGCGGGUUCUGCCAGAAGUAGGUAGCCUAACCGCAAGGAGGGCGCUUACCACGGCAGGGUUCGUGACUGGGGUGAAGUCGUAACAAGGUAACCAAG
rnacentral:rRNA from 1 species